GGGUCAUCUUUGGCGCCCCCUAAAACGUAAACCGUGGGGUGCAGCGUCAUGAUUUUUACAACUUUGAAUGGCCAUGGAGUGUAGAUUGGCCUGAGCAAAUUUGGUGUCAGUGGGACGAAAGCCUUAGGAGGAGUUAGCGAAAUUCCAAUGUGUGCGAAUCGGCAAAAAAUGCAAAAUAGCCCUUUUACCGUACAUUAUACAGAUACGCGCGCAUUGACUUUUUUGUAGAUCUUAUUGAGAUACAUGUGUGUGUCAAUUUUUGUGUCAUUUUGACAAAGCGUACAGGCGUGACACUCAACAAUGUGUAUUUUCACCUUAGGGGACAAGAAAAAAUGGACUUUUUUCUCCUGCCAUGGGGGGGCGCUCUUUUGGGGAGUAAAAAUUCCUUCACAAAUGUGUUGAUGGCUGGACAUUGCAUCAUCCUAGAAAACUUGGAGGCCAGUGAGGGCAAAAAAUAAAAAGUUAUAAGACUUUUAAAUAUGUGGAUUUUAGUGUUAUCUUUGGCGCCCCCUAGAACCUAAACCGUGGGGUGCAGGGUCAUGAUUUGAAUAACUUUUAAUGGCCAUGGGGUGUAGAUUGGCCUGAGCAAAUGUGAUGCCGGUGGAACGAAAGCCUUCGGAGGAGUUAGCGAAAUUCCAAUGUGUGCGGAUCGGCAAAAAAUGCGAAAUAACCCUUUAACCGUACAUUUGACAGAUACGCCCGCACUGACUUUUUUGUAGAUCUUAUUGAGAUACAUGUGUGUGUCAAUUUUUGUGUCAUUUUGACAAAGCGUACAGGCGUGACAGUCAAUAGUGUGAAUUUUCACCAUAGGGGGCGCUAUGGAGCCAUUUUUCAUUUUUUUGUUUGGGCGACUUCAGAAUAUCAAAUUUUUCACCAGGCCCGGUCGUCCUGCCAAAUUUCCUGAGUUUUCGUCAGUGGGAAGUGGGCCAUUUUCCAGUUUAAAGCGGAGGAAAAAUAACGAAAGAAGAAUCCAUCAGGAACAAGAGGGCUCUCGCAGCUGCUUAGCAGCUACGCUCGGGCCCUAAGAAAGAAAGAACUAGGACCCCGUUGGGGCACUGGCGGGCCCGAGCCGUGUCGCCCCCCCCCCCCCAACGUGCUGCCUCCCCGUCCCAUUUGUGUCCUCUGGCCAUCGCCCUCUCUGGUAACGCCCAUCACUGCAAAGACCCUUUUCCUUCAUCGGCGUUUGCUGUUCUUCCUGCCAGUGCGUGUUGCUUUCACUUACACUUGCCACAGCCAGCCUCGUGAGUGCCUAGCCUAUUCGAUAUCACUGUCACCUACACAGGACAGUCAUUACCUUUCUAUUAAUACUUUGUUUUUUAAUUUCACAUUAAUUUCCAUAUUGUAUAAACGACUGGAAAAAACUUGAGCCCCUGCCCCUGUAUAAUCAUGUGCAUGUCUCUGUUCUAGCUCCAAGGUGAAUCUUCACUGCUCAUGUUCUCCUCAGAAGCAGUCACCUCACUCCCCUCAGGUUACUGUACACAUGCACCAACUGCCUGCUUCAGGUUUGGAUGGAGCUUCAUGGUUGUCUUUUGGAGAAAUGACCAGUCAAGUUGUGUUUGAAAUUUGAUUUUUUUCAGGGGCAAAAGGAGCCUCUGCAUUCUUGUCAAAUAUGUAAAUAGCAUGUUUUUGCAGGUGCUAAAAACCAGACUCUGAGUGUGUGUGUGUGUGUGUGUGUGUGUGUGUGUGUGUGUGUGUGUGUGCGUGUGUGUGUGUCUGUGUGUGCGUUCAAGUCACAUGACAUAUUUAACCGGAUGUAGCUGCAAGACGGAGCCUCGUUGACUCUCCGUUUCAACUUAUCUCAAAAGUGAGGACCUCAACCUAUAUACCAGUUUUUAAAUUGUGUUGAUAGGCCAAAUAAAACCAGAGUUAUGAUAAAUUAUGUCCGCGAUACUUUUUUUCUGCUUAUUUUGAUCACGUUCGGCGCUCGAUCGCGCUGUAUGAGACAGGAAAACAUAGCAUGCAGACAUUAGCGACAGGUCUUACAGGCAAGGGUACCCAGAUGCAGCGCCAAGAUGGCGGACCCAAAGAUAGAAAACCACAUUUACAAAACGCAAUAAGUUUCCGCAUUACCUCCGAUUGGCGGACCCAAAACAUGAACUUUGAACUUCUGCUUUGCGAUGCCAGAACAGUAGGUGGCGGUAUGCACCUACACUUUCUGACGGCAAAAUUUACAGAAGAAGAAGAACUCUCAGGAAGUUUGAAAAGAAGCAAGCCGUCCGCAUUCAUUCAAUCUCACCUCCGACCACUCAAACUAACCCUAACCCUGCAUUCCAUUGUUUCCAUCAUGGGAAAUCUAAGUGACGCUCUCAAAUUAACAGGAACAUUGCGCAGAAGAUAUGGCCUGGGCAAUGGACUGAGAAAACGGGCAGAGAUUUGGAGGUAUUUGUGCAUGCUCUAUAUUACAGUUGAAAAGUGUAUAACAGCUUUCCAAUGCUGUUACUUGUGGCGAACACCUUUUUGCUUGAGUUGAUGCGUGCCCGCGGGUGGAAUAAUGUCACAUGUCACACACAUUUUCUGUUGUUUUGAUUUAUUUACUCAUUCAUCAUUUUAUGUGCGCACCUCUCCUAAUCAACCCACCCAUUAAAUAGACAGGCACAAUAGCACCAUCUGCUGGCACAAAAAAUACAUAACAAUAAACUGCAAAAC
rnacentral:lncRNA from 1 species